UGAGCCAAGUUUAGGGUUUUCUCAAAACCCAAGCAGUAUUGAACUGAAGAGUUUGAUCAUGGCUCAGAUUGAACGCUGGCGGCAGGCCUAACACAUGCAAGUCGAGCGGAUGAAGGGAGCUUGCUCCUGGAUUCAGCGGCGGACGGGUGAGUAAUGCCU
rnacentral:rRNA from 1 species